rnacentral:lncRNA from 1 species
UCGACGUCUGAUUGUCUUUGAUCAUUCUCAACACGGUUUGAGACUGGUUGUAUAUAGAAUUAUUUCCACCUUGGAAGUUGGAACAUGAUAUGCCAACCGGCUAAUAGGAUGUGAACACAUUAAGCAUCCAGGUAGGGAUAGCUGAACGUGAGGCAUGGUCCGGGAUUAGAUAGGUCAGUAUCUAUGCCUGCCUUCAAACUAAAAACCUUGUACGAUAUCUGCCCUAUACCUACCUUAGAUCAUAUCGGAUCACCUUGGCUCAGAUAAUUAUAGUUUAUAGGUAUAAUUAAUGAGAUCACAACUGUUAUACAAAUACGAAAACCUUAUAGC